CUGGCGGCGCGCUUAAUACAUGCAAGUCGAACGAGAAGCCAGAGCUUGCUCUAGGUGGAAAGUGGCGAACGGGUGAGUAACACGUGAGAAACCUGCCCCAAAGAUUGGGAUAAGCCUUGGAAACGAGGUCUAAUACCAAAUACCUUCCUUUAACACAUGUUAAAAAGAAGAAAUGCUCCGGCGCUUUGGGAUGGUCUCGCGAUCUAUCAGCUUGUUGGGUGAGGUAACGGCUCACCAAGGCAUCGACGGAUAGCUGGUCUGAGAGGAUGUCCAGCCACAUUGGAACUGAGACACGGUCCAAACUCCUACGGGAGGCAGCAGUAGGGAAUCUUGCACAAUGAGGGAAACCUUGAUGCAGCGACGCCGCGUGCGGGACGAAGGCCCUAGGGUUGUAAACCGCUUUCAGUAGGGACGAAAGCGACGGUACCUACAGAAGAAGCCCCGGCCAACUAUGUG
rnacentral:rRNA from 1 species